AUGGCACGGCCGCUACACUUCGUGCUGGUGCCGCUCCUUGCGCCGGGCCACGUUAUCCCGGUGCUCGACCUGGCGCGCCUCAUCGCCGGCCGCGCCGGCGCGCGCGUCACCGUGGUCCUCACGCCCGUCACCGCCGCGCGCAACAGGGCCGUCCUGGAGCACGCUUCCCGCGAGGGGCUCGCCGUCGACGUGGCCGAGCUGCCGUUCCCGGGGCCGGCGCUGGGGCUGCCCGAGGGGUGCGAGAGCCACGACAUGGUCACGGACCUCCCCGGCAUCAUGCUCUUCUAUGAAGCCGUGUGGCUGCUCGCCGGGCCGCUGGAGACGUACCUCCGGGCGCUGCCACGGCGGCCGGACUGCCUCGUCGCCGACACGUGCAACCCGUGGACGGCCGACGUCGCGCGCCGGCUUGACAUCCCACGGUUUGUGUUCCAAGGCCCGUCGGCGUUCUUCCUCCUGGCGCAGCAUAGCCUGGCCAAGCACGGCGUGCACGACACCGACUGCGUUGCCGGCGACUUGGAGCAGUUCGAGGUGCCCGAUUUUCCGGUGCGCGCCGUCACGAGCAAGGCCACGUCGCUUGGGUUCUUCCAGUUUCCUGGGAUGGAGAAGGAAAGGCGUGACACGCUGGAAGCCGAGGCCACCGCCGACGGAUUCGUCUUCAACACCUGCGCGGCUUUCGAGAGCGCGUACAUCAAGGGAUACGGUGCGGCGCUCCACCGGAAGGUGUGGGCGGUCGGGCCGCUCUGCCUUCUGGACUCCGACGCGGAGACGACGACCGGAAGAGGCAACCCCGCGGCCGUCGAUGCCGGCUCGGUCGCCACUUGGCUCGACGCGCGGCCGCAACAGUCCGUGCUCUACGUCAGCUUCGGCAGCAUGGCCCGCCUCUUGCCGUCGCAGGCCGCGGAGCUCGCCGCCGGCCUGGAGUCGUCGAAUCGCCCGUUCAUCUGGGUGACUAGGGAGACCUCGACGCGGGGUUCGAGGAGCGCGUGGAGGGCCGCGGCUUUUUCAUCCGUGGGUGGGCACCGCAGAUGA
rnacentral:rRNA from 1 species